CUCUGGGAGUGAGAAGUGACUCACAGUUUUGGUAUCUCCUACGUAAGAGCUUUGGGGGGAUUCCUUGGCUUGCUGACAAGGACAGGAAGAAAGCAGCAGCAGCGAGGUAAAACACGAUUACUUCCAACUGCCUUGUGGAGGAUAUGCAGUCGCUUGGUUCGACUGGAACAGCUUGCCGCUCUCUGAUGGCACGCGGAGGGAGAAUAAUUAAAAAGGCCAGCAUCACUUGCUAAGAAGCUGCUGCAAUGUUACAAAAAUAUCCUGGAAAAAGGAGGUUGAGGAGAUUCGGUUUUCCGUAGACUGGGCUUCUGGCGAUGGUGCCAGGUGACUGUCUUUUGCCAUUUGAACCACCAUGGGGGAGCUAGUCUGGGGUUCCUCUUCUGUUGUCACCCAGCUGUGGCAUGAACUCUACAUCUCAAGUGGGUAAGAAAAAAAAAAAAGAUAGAAAUCCCCAGAAGAGAGAUCCUGCACGUAGUUUGGAAGAAAUUUUUCCCAUGGCACCUGAUAUAACUUCAGCAGGAAAAGGCAUCUCAGCAGAUGGUAACGGGCAGCAAGGAGGCCCCCCUCUCACACAAGUACAAUAGGGCCUUCCAAUUUCCAAGGUGUUCUUCAUGCGUAUUAUCCUGUUUAAUUCUCACUACAACCCAGCAAGGCAGAUUGUUUUUAGCUUGUUUUGCAUGUGAGGAUAUGCAGGCUCUGGGAGAUGACGAAACUGCAUCAAGUUGGAAGCUGGUAAGAGGCAUUCACGGAUUCUGAGUCUUAGCCUCAUGCUGUUUCAUUAUUCUUCAUAGAUUCUUCUAGAAAUAUCCUCUUCAGAACCCCUUACCCAAGGCUUCCUCUAUUCUUGAUCCUCUCUCAUCCUCCCCACCCUUACUCCCUCACUAUCAGGUUCUCAUUUUGUAAUCUGUGUAAUUUGUAGUCACGUGCAAUUUGAAAAUGCUCCUUAUACCCUGCCAGCAGUUAAGAACCAGGGCUAAGUUCCAACUGGCAAUGGCAGAAACCUUCUUUAACUUUUCACUUUUCUCUUAUCUGCCCCCCCACCCCCUUGUUCCCUUGAAAGUCAGGUUUAUCCACAGCCAGUCUACAUUUGCCCUGUUUUUAGCUCUUUGCUUUCUUUUGCAUCUCUAACAAAGCACUCUGCUUCCAUUUCUACUCCCCAUUAAAACUACCUCAGGUCAUUAAUGACCAAUUCAAUUGUACUUUCCUUCCCCAUAGUUACAGUCUCUUGACCACUCCCUCCUCCAUGACACUCUUGUCUUCUUUCCUAUCUGAUACGAUGCUAUGCUAGAUUUCCUCCUUUAUUUAUGGCUGCUUCAUCUCAGACUUAUUCUUCCUUUUUAAUCCCUUUAAUAUUAGUGUUCCCCCAAGUGGUUUCUGUGGUUCUCCUCUAUUCUCAACUGCCUUGUGUAAAUGUAAACCCUUGAUUUCAAUAGUCAUCUCUAAACUAAUCAUCAAAUUCUCAUCUCCAGCCCAAACCACUCUCCUGAACUCAGCUCUGGAUAUCUGGCUGCCUGCUGACAUCUCCUCAGGCACUCCUAACUCAAUACCCUCUAAACUUACCAUCAUCCCCAAACCUUCUCCUUCUGGAUCCCUUUUCCUUCACCCCUCUCACUGCCAACUGCUCUUUGAGUUCUUUCAAUACUACUUUCUUAAUUUCUCUCUAACCACUCAUUUUCACUAAAUUCUGACUGCUCCUCUCUUGGUUUAUUUUCCCAGUGGCUUUCUAACAGCCCAGCUGUUCUCUUCAUUCUCAGACAAGCCCAGCCCACAAUGCAUUCUCUGUACUACUUCUAACUCAUCUAUAGAACAUGCAAAUAUGACCAUUUUGCUUGCCUCUGUGAACCUUCAGUGGACUCUUUCUAACUUGGUCUUCAAGGCUCCUCAUGAUCAGGGCCUUGCAUCUUCCCAGCCUUCUUUCUUAAAAUUCUUCCAUUUCUCACCCUAUAUUAUAGGUCACAGAAUACUCAUAGCUCUUUUAUGCCUCUAGGGUUUCAUAAAAUGUUCCUGCCUCAUGGGAUGUUCACCUCUACUUUUUUUCAUUUGGCCAAUUCCUUCACCUUCAUGGUUCUGUUCCAGCAAGAAGCAAUACACCCCCCCCCACCCCACCCAAGACUCCUACUACAGAUUAUAUGCUGCCACAAGCCCUAUACCCCUGCCCGCUGUCCCACAGCAUUUACCCCACUGGCAUAGUAAUCAGGUUCUCCUAUUUGACUGUGAGACACUUAAAGGUAGAGACUGUGACUUUUAUCCCUGUGUUCCCAGAACCCAGCACAGGUUCUGGUGUAUACUGGAUGCUUAAUAUAUUAACAUUACUGUUUUUAUUCUGAGUAUCAUAAAUGCUGUUUUUUUUGAGCUGUCAAAUUACAGGUCCCCCAAAUAAUCAAACUGAGGGAAAUACAGCAACCAUUUCUCAUGGUGGAAAAAAGAUUUCCUAUGGUGCAGUUCUCACUUACAUCAGUUUUUUGACUUCUGUCAGAGAGAGAAAGAGCACAAGUGGGGGAAGGGCAGAGAGAGAG